rnacentral:piRNA from 1 species
GAGUAGCUGCGCUCCCCUG